rnacentral:rRNA from 1 species
AUGAACGCUGGCGGCGUGCCUAACACAUGCAAGUCGAACGGGACUAUCAAGUGAUGUUUCGGACUGAACUUUUAGUUAGUGGCGGACGGGUGAGUAACGCGUGGACAACCUGCCUCUCACUGGGGGAUAGCAGCUGGAAACGGCUGGUAAUACCGCAUACGUUCAAUGUGCCGCAUGACACAUUGAAGAAAGAUUUAUCGGUGAGAGAUGGGUCCGCGUCUGAUUAGCCAGUUGGCGGGGUAACGGCCCACCAAAGCGACGAUCAGUAGCCGGCCUGAGAGGGCGGACGGCCACAUUGGGACUGAGACACGGCCCAGACUCCUACGGGAGGCAGCAGUGGGGGAUAUUGCACAAUGGGCGCAAGCCUGAUGCAGCGACGCCGCGUGAGUGAAGAAGUAUUUCGGUAUGUAAAGCUCUAUCAGCAGGGAAGAAAGGCCCGCAAGGGAGAUGACGGUACCUGACUAAGAAGCCCCGGCUAACUACGUGCCAGCCGCAGC